AGCCAGUGCGUUUUUGCUUUUUAUAACUUGCCGCUGACUCUGACUCCGUCUCUGCCACUGGCACUGGCGCUGGGUAUGACUGGGACUAGGCGCUUUUGCUGUUUUUCGCUUCAGUUAGUUGUUGUUGCUUUGCGCAGUUAUACACCAGCGGAUUAAAGGAGCUGCUCUGCAUUAAAAUGCGCUUUCGUUGUGCUACCACCAAAACAAAGCUUACUUUUCAUUACAAUAAUUUGUUGUUGUUGCUAUUUUUUUAAAUCAACAAAAUGCUUGUGAUUUGAACAAAAUUAUUAUAAAACUUACUGAGGAAAAUUUUAACUUUGAAAGUGUAUGCACCGUCGGCAAAUUGACUACUUCUAAGAGUGUCCAAAUAACGUGAGACAUUCAUGGAAUAAGUGCUGCCUACCAUCUAUAUAUGUACACUCCAGCGCAUAUUACAGCCUGUAUGCAGAGGGGGGCGAUCAAAGUAGUGAUAAACAUGCGCCAAAGGCAACGGCGACAAUGUUGAGAAGCGGUGAAAGAGCGAAAACUGAGACGGAAUUAACGCAGAUACGGCAAAUUAAUUAAUUUAUAAGGAUUAUAAAACUUUUACUGUUGUACCACGCAUUCAAACUAAAGCCAAGAGCAAACGAAUUUCGAAGGGAGUGUGAAGCUAUGAAAUUGCUACAAACACAAAUGAUUACGUUUGCCCCGCGAUUGGUUACACAUCUACAAGCGUACGUAAUUGCGUGUUGAAUGCAUGUCCGCAGCAUUCCACGGCAGACUUUUUAUUAUGUGGCAUCCACAAAUCAUUUCAUUGUUCAACAGUAGGUGUCACAUUUUAUUGCGCGCUCCACAAUGCCCACAGUGAGCACACAAAAGCACACAAGCGCAUGCGCAUUCACUACACGCACAUCAGCCAGAUAUCCGCAUCUGCAUGUUUGAUUGAUCACGCUGGCUAUCGGACAUAAUUUGGUAGAUUUGAGGCCGUCGAAAUAGCUCGUACAAUCAGUGCUGCGAGCAUAAUUUCUAGACAUAUAUACACAUGUACACACUUCUAUGUUUGCGGGUCUGAAAAUGUAUUUAAUAAAUUUUUUACUGCGCCUC